rnacentral:rRNA from 1 species
CACGUAGGGCGCAAGCGUUGUCCGGAAUUAUUGGGCGUAAAGAGCGUGUAGGCGGCUUGGAAGGUCAGCUGUGAAAACUCGAGGCUCAACCUCGAGACGUCGGUUGAAACCACCUGGCUAGAGUCCGGAAGAGGAGAGUGGAAUUCCCGGUGUAGCGGUGAAAUGCGCAGAUAUCGGGAAGAACACCCGUGGCGAAGGCGGCUCUCUGGGACGGUACUGACGCUGAGACGGCGAAAGCGUGGGGAGCGAACAGG